rnacentral:rRNA from 1 species
GUGAACCUGCGGAAGGAUCAUUAUUGAAAUAAACCUGAUGAGUUGCUGCUGGUUCUCUAGGGAGCAUGUGCACACUUGUCAUCUUUAUAUCUCCACCUGUGCACCUUUUGUAGACCUGGAUAUCUCUCUGAAUGCUAGCCACUCAGGUUUGAGGAUUGACUUUAUGUCUCUCCUUGCAUUUCCAGGCCUAUGUUUCUUUAUAUACCCAAUGUAUGUCAUAGAAUGUAAUCAAUGGGCCUUUGUGCCUAUAAACCUAUACAACUUUCAGCAACGGAUCUCUUGGCUCUCGCAUCGAUGAAGAACGCAGCGAAAUGCGAUAAGUAAUGUGAAUUGCAGAAUUCAGUGAAUCAUCGAAUCUUUGAACGCACCUUGCGCUCCUUGGUAUUCCGAGGAGCAUGCCUGUUUGAGUGUCAUUAAUAUAUCAACCUCUUCAACUUUUGUUUGUCGGGUGUUGGAUUUGGGGGUCUUUUUUGCUGGCCCUAAGGUCAGCUCCCCUGAAAUGCAUUAGCAGAACAAUUUGUGAACCGUUCAUUGGUGUGAUAACUAUCUACGCUGUUGACGUGAAACAAGUUCAGCUUCUAACAGUCCAUUGACUUGGACAACUUUUCAUUAAUGUGACCUCAAAUCAGGUAGGACUACCCGCUGAACUUAAGCAUAUCAAUAAGCGGAGGAAAAGAAACUAACAAGGAUUCCCCUAGUAACUGCGAGUGAAGCGGGAAAAGCUCAAAUUUAAAAUCUGUCAGUCUUUG